rnacentral:tRNA from 1 species
UUAGUACUACGAGUAGUAUUAGUAAUACUUGUACUACUACGAGUAGUACUAGUAGUACUUGUGCUACUACGAGUAUUACUAGU